rnacentral:tRNA from 1 species
GGGGAUUUAGCUCAGCAGAAGAGCGCUUGCCUAGCAAGCACAAGGCCCUGGGUUCGGUCCCCAGCUCCA